rnacentral:rRNA from 1 species
CUCCUGGAUUCAGCGGCGGACGGGUGAGUAAUGCCUAGGAAUCUGCCUGGUAGUGGGGGAUAACGUCCGGAAACGGGCGCUAAUACCGCAUACGUCCUGAGGGAGAAAGUGGGGGAUCUUCGGACCUCACGCUAUCAGAUGAGCCUAGGUCGGAUUAGCUAGUUGGUGGGGUAAAGGCCUACCAAGGCGACGAUCCGUAACUGGUCUGAGAGGAUGAUCAGUCACACUGGAACUGAGACACGGUCCAGACUCCUACGGGAGGCAGCAGUGGGGAAUAUUGGACAAUGGGCGAAAGCCUGAUCCAGCCAUGCCGCGUGUGUGAAGAAGGUCUUCGGAUUGUAAAGCACUUUAAGUUGGGAGGAAGGGCAGUAAGUUAAUACCUUGCUGUUUUGACGUUACCAACAGAAUAAGCACCGGCUAACUUCGUGCCAGCAGCCGCGGUAAUACGAAGGGUGCAAGCGUUAAUCGGAAUUACUGGGCGUAAAGCGCGCGUAGGUGGUUCAGCAAGUUGGAUGUGAAAUCCCCGGGCUCAACCUGGGAACUGCAUCCAAAACUACUGAGCUAGAGUACGGUAGAGGGUGGUGGAAUUUCCUGUGUAGCGGUGAAAUGCGUAGAUAUAGGAAGGAACACCAGUGGCGAAGGCGACCACCUGGACUGAUACUGACACUGAGGUGCGAAAGCGUGGGGGAGCAAACAGGAUU